rnacentral:rRNA from 1 species
GAUGAACGCUGGCGGCGUGCCUAAUACAUGCAAGUCGAGCGAACGGACGAGAAGCUUGCUUCUCUGAUGUUAGCGGCGGACGGGUGAGUAACACGUGGAUAACCUACCUAUAAGACUGGGAUAACUUCGGGAAACCGGAGCUAAUACCGGACAAUAUUUUGAACCGCAUGGUUCAAAAGUGAAAGACGGUCUUGCUGUCACUUAUAGAUGGAUCCGCGCUGCAUUAGCUAGUUGGUAAGGUAACGGCUUACCAAGGCAACGAUGCAUAGCCGACCUGAGAGGGUGAUCGGCCACACGGGAACUGAGACACGGUCCAGACUCCUACGGGAGGCAGCAGUAGGGAAUCUUCCGCAAUGGGCGAAAGCCUGACGGAGCAACGCCGCGUGAGUGAUGAAGGUCUUCGGAUCGUAAAACUCUGUUAGUAGGGAAGAACAUAUGUGUAAGUAACUGUGCACAUCUUGACGGUACCUAAUCAGAAAGCCACGGCUAACUACGUG